rnacentral:lncRNA from 1 species
AUGAUUUUGAUGAAGAGUAUAUGGGGGGGCGUGGUGUAUGUGUUACUGGGAGCACUUCAGAUCUUUGGGACGGUGGGAGGACCUGAGAGGGAGGAACAAAAGUGGUUUUGUUUGAGGAUGCCUAGUGGACCCGGCAUCUGCCGAAGCCCUCACCCGGGAACACAGGGAGCUGUUUGCUUGUUUACAACAAAGACCGCAUGCCCUGCUGCGCCUGCUGCUAACCAAGAGGAACAGCGGCUUCUUAAAUCCUUGCCUACGAUGGUCCAGCAAGCCCAGACGUCCUGUCGCCUUCUCACCUCCUCUGCUGAGAGCUACAGAUCUUCCGAUGACAGACAAGGAGGGGAUGUGCGAAUGGUGUGGCCAGGGACGUCCAGGUCUUGA